UACGGGGGGGGCAAGCGUUGUUCGGAAUUACUGGGCGUAAAGGGCUCGUAGGUGGCCAACUAAGUCAGACGUGAAAUCCCCCGGCUUAACCUGGGAACUGCGUCUGAUACUGGAAGGCUUGAGUGCGGGAGAGGGAUGUGGAAUUCCAGGUGUAGCGGUGAAAUGCGUAGAUAUCUGGAGGAACACCGGUGGCGAAGGCGGCAUCCUGGACCGACACUGACGCUGAGGCGCGAAAGCUAGGGUAGCAAACGGG
rnacentral:rRNA from 1 species